GGGGAAGGAUGAGAAGCUUCGACUAAGGUUCGAUUCGAGCGAAAGCGAGAAAGCGUUGCCAACGGCAACGACCCGAAGGGCGAAGCGCGCAGCGCUGAGUCAUCCUUCCCCCACCACCA
rnacentral:sRNA from 1 species